AGUAUUGUGCUUUGGCACCAGACAGUCACAUUGCCAUACCACUGGCUACUAGCUGGGGGCCCUGGGAUGCAGGAUGUGAGCUGGCCUGCCCUCCUGCUGGCUAUGGAAUGGGUGUCUCCCCUGGUAAAGGAGAAGAGGUAAUACUGCAGGAUACAGACAUUCCUCAGCAAUUUUGAAACAACAGGCUUUAGGAAAAGAGACUCACAAGCCUAGAAGUGACUCAUACCCACCUCUCUGUUAAGACUGCACUCUUCCUCAGUGACUCUAGACAGGUUCUCUUUUGAUAGAGAUAGUCUGUGUGGACCAAACUUAUGGAAAUAUAUUCUCCAAGAUGUGAUGGGACACUAGGAGCUUAUGGCCGGAGGUUGCACACCAGGUCAGCGUUUCUACGGCAAUCGUGUUGAACAGCAGGAUGAGCUCUGGAGCCCUGGGUAGCAGAGAAUGGGGGGUAUGUCCCAAAUGGUUCAUAACUUGAAUAAAACUUCUGUAUGACAUCUCCUUCCAAAGCACGUGGUGGUGGAAAAUCAUGAAAAGUUAAUUUUUUUGUUUUCUACAACAAUGUUAAUAGUUUGCUGAGAAUUUUUCACCUCAUAUCCUACUGACCCAGAUGAAAAUAACCAUAGGGAAAUAAUCGGGCUGUUUGCAGGUUAAAUAAAAUAAAACUGGUAAAAUCAG